GCGUAACGCGUGGGAAUCUGCGUAACGCGUGGGAAUCUGCGUAACGCGUGGGAAUCUGGCGUAACGCGUGGGAAUCUGCGUAACGCGUGGGAAUCUGCGUAACGCGUGGGAAUCUGCGUAACGCGUGGGAAUCUGUGUUGGAAGGCCUUAGGGUUGUAAGAUGCGUAACGCGUGGGAAUCUGCGUAACGCGUGGGAAUCUGGCGAACGCGUGGGAAUCUGCGUAACGCGUGGGAAUCUGUGUUGGAGUGGAAGGCCUUAGGGUUGUAA
rnacentral:rRNA from 1 species